AAAUACCGCGGUAAUUCCGUACGCGAUGAAAACAGAACGACGUCAAUAUUAUUCUACAGACGAAAGUGACGUUUGUGUUUUCAGCGAAGAUCCGAUAGACGGAAAGUUAUUAUUACGCGCGGGCCGACAAAACUCGAGGUACACAAUAUUGUGUAACGAUGACGGACGUCGGUCGUUAUUUGCUCGACCCUGAUAUCCGCGAUUGUUCCUACGACGGUGAUAAUAAUAAUAAUAAUAAUAAAAACGAAAACAAUACGGACACACUUCGCACGUGGCCGCAGCCACUGUUCCGGGUGGGAAGCUGGGA